rnacentral:tRNA from 1 species
ACCCUCUUAGUAUAAUAGUACAAGUGACUUCCACUCACUAAGCCUUGGUCAAAACACUAAGAGAGGGCA